AUCCCUUUGUAGCUCAUGAGUGAUGAUUGGGUGUUCACGUGCAGGUAUGAGAUGUGCUACCCUCAAACCUUCUUACAAAGUCAGCACAUUACCCAUCUGACA
ensembl:snoRNA